rnacentral:lncRNA from 1 species
AUGAAGGAAAUUAAAGACUCCCAUAAUGAAGAUCCAGAAAAAGAUAAAACACCACAAAACCGCAGAGAGAGAGAUUUGGAGGACGUAGCACGGAAGUUAGAGAUGGCCCAUGGAGAGAUCCGAAGGCUCACUGAUGAACUGCAAGGGAAGGAGAAGGUACAGAGCAAACUCGCUUCUGCAUUUGAGAAGGCUCAACUAGAAAUUGAGAAAUUGAAAGAAAAUUUGAUAAAGCUGAAAGAAAAUGACUCCGUUGACCUACGGAAAGCAAAGGAACAUAAUCAGAGACUGGAUGAGGAAAUUCUGGCUCUAAGAAGUCGGGUUCGAUCACUUGACUCGGAAAAAAAAGUACUUGGAGAAGAGGUUGAACGACUUAAAAGAGGAACGUGUGAAGCUCAAGGGAAUAAGCAUCUCGGAAACCACUCUCCCGGACAAACUGUGGGUGCUGAACAGAAAGUAGAGAUAUUGAAAAUGAGCCAAGAAAAAAUUGAAAUAUUUGAAAGUGAGUUGUCAGAAGAGACAGAAAGAAAAGAGCAGUUGACAUCUAAUCUUAAUACUGAGCAGAGAACUUUGGAAGUUGAAAGUGAGGAACUGAAAAAAUCAAAGUCAGAACUUAUAUGCCUUUAUCAUGAAAUUCAAAGUCUUCCAGGUGCAGCAGAAGACAGAGACCAAUUUUUAAUAGCAUAUAACCUGCUACAAAGAGAGAAUUCUGAAUUAGAAACAAAGGUCUUGAAGCUUUCACAAGAAUUUGAGCAAUCAAAUCAUUUUACUAUAGGGAAAAAAACUGCAGCUGCUAAUUUAAUUACAAAUGAAAAUACCUGUAAAGAUCUUGUGCCUAAAGUACCAAUUUUGGGAGUAGAUAUUCAAAGCCUGAAGGAAGAGAAAGAGGAACUCUGUCCCGAACUAGGAGAAAAUAAGCAGAAGGAAAUUCCAGAGAAGGCAGUAAAGGAGGGCACUUUUCCAAGAGAGGGACGGAAGGAGGAGGACUCACAGCAGAAGCAAGAAACGAGAGGUGAAGAACAGCAGUUGACCCUGCAGCCUGAGGAAGUUAUGAGGCUCAGAGAAGAGCUGAGCCUUAUGAAUCAGAGCCUCCUUCAGUCUCAGAGCUCUGAGGAUACCACAGAAGACAGUAGUGCCCAGUAUCCAUCAUCUGGAGAAAAACCGAAAUACCAGCAGCAAGAGGAGGUACAACAGCUUCACCAGAAUUUGCACCGGCUCCAGACUCUAUGCAGCUCAGCAGAAAAAGAGCUUCGAUAUGAGCGAGGAAAGAACCUGGACUUGAAGCAACAUAAUAGCUUACUUCAGGAAGAAAGCAUUAAGAUCAAAAUUGAACUCAAGCAGGCCCAGGAAAAGUUGUUAGACAGCUCAAAGAUGUGCUGUUCACUCACGGCCGAGUGGAAGCACUGUCAGCAGAAAAUCAGGGAACUGGAGCUGGAAGUACUUAAACAGGCUCAGAGCAUUAAAUCACAGAACAACCUACAGGAAAUGCUGGCUCAGGAGAAAUCUAAAGUUGCUGAUGCAGAGGACAAGAUUUUAGAUCUGCAGCAGAAAUUAGAACAUGCUCAAAAAGUCAAUCUAACAGACACUUGUAUUUUGGAGAAGAAGCAAUUAGAGGAAAGGAUAAAAGAAGCAAUAGAAAAUGAAGCUAAAAUAAAGCAACAGUAUCAGGAAGAACAACAGAAGAGGAAACUCCUCGAUCAGAAUAUGAAUGAGCUACAGAAGCAAGUGAAAAUCUUACAGGAAAAAGAGAGUCUAUUGGAAAUGACCAGUUCUCAGCAACAAAUCAAACUUCAGCAACAAAAGGCCCAACUUAAAGAACUGGAAAAUGAAAAAAGAAAAUCUGAUGAGCAUCUCAAGAGCAACCAGGAAUUGUCAAAGAAGCUGUCUGUGUUGCAGCAGGAAAAGGAAGCUCUAUGUGAACAAAAUGAGCACCUUUUGAAACAGUUUGAUCUCCAUGUGAGAAACUAUCAUCAGAAACAUCAGUACUACAAAGUCAAGCUGCACGCAGUCAAGGAUCGUUUAGUUGAUGAAGUAGAACUCCGAGAUGAGAAAAUCAAACAACUUGAAAAUGAGGUUGGAGCCCUGCGGCAGCAAAUAGAAAAGGAGAAGGCAUUCCAGCACCAGAUCGCCACCCAAAAUGACACCCUGCUCCUAGAAAAAAGGAAACUUCUGGAGCAGGUCACAGAACAAGAAUUAUUAAUUGACAGCAACAAAUGGAGAAUGUCUUCUGUCCAAAACAGAGUACUUUUCCUGGAUGAAGAAAAUAAGCAGCUACAGAAAAACUGUCUCCGGCUCACCCAGGAGACUGGUCUCCUAGAGCAUAUCAUAAAGAGCAUCCAGAUCCACAGAGGGGAGGAAACAACAGUUUGUGACAUCCCUGAAUCUGAAGUAUUGAAUAAAAUCAUGUAUUUACCGAACUCCAGUUUUUCAGGAACAGGUUUGGUAGAGUCCGCUGGAAGUCUUCAAGAGACUGAAGAACAGAGGUUAGAAGAAACAGUGGCACACCCCAAGUCCCUCGAGUCCCUUUCGUGUUCACAGAAUUCUGAAGUUGGAAACAUAAAUGGGGCUUCCCCGAAAGAAACACAUCUCAUUCAAGAAGACAAGUCAGAUCUAGAA